AGAGCUUAACUCUGGAACUGCCAUCAAAACUUUUUAGCUAGAGUAUGAUAGAGGAAAGCAGAAUUUCUAGUGUAGAGGUGAAAUUCGUAGAUAUUAGAAAGAAUACCAAUUGCGAAGGCAGCUUUCUGGAUCAUUACUGACACUGAGGAACGAAAGCAUGGGUAGCGAAGAGGAUUAGAUACCCUCGUAGUCCAUGCCGUAAACGAUGUGUGUUAGAUGUUGGAAAUUUAUUUUCAGUAUCGCAGCGAAAGCGAUAAACACACCGCCUGGGGAGUACGACCGCAAGGUUAAAACUCAAAUGAAUUGACGGGGACCCGCACAAGUAGUGGAGCAUGUGGUUUAAUUCGAAGAUACGCGCAGAACCUUACCAACACUUGACAUGUUCGUCGCGACUUUAAGAGAUUAAAGUUUUCGGUUCGGCCGGACGAAACACAGGUGCUGCAUGGCUGUCGUCAGCUCGUGUCGUGAGAUGUUGGGUUAAGUCCCGCAACGAGCGCAACCCUUACUUUUAGUUGCCAUCAUUUAGUUGGGCACUCUGAAAGAACUGCCAGUGAUAAGCUGGAGGAAGGUGGGGAUGACGUCAAGUCCUCAUGGCCCUUACGUGUUGGGCUACACACGUGCUACAAUGGCAUUUACAAUAGGAAGCAAGACGGCGACGUUAAGCAAAUCCUAAAAAAAUGCCUCAGUUCGGAUUGUACUCUGCAACUCGAGUACAUGAAGCUGGAAUUACUAGUAAUCGCGGAUCAGCGCGCCGCGGUGAAUGCGUUCCCGGGUCUUGUACACACCGCCCGUCACACCAUGGGAGUUGGUUCUACCUUAAGGCAAAGCUUAAAAACUUUGACCACGGUAUAGUCAGCGACUGGGGAGAAGUCGUAACAAGGUAGCCGUAGGGGAACCUGCGGCUG
rnacentral:rRNA from 1 species